UUUUAUUCCUAUGUGAUGAUGUCAAAUGCUCAUGUAGGAAUAGAAGCCACUUUACACAUGGUGUGAGGACAACGUGACGUGUGCCUGCCGCAGAAGAGCACACGGCUCGAUAAAUAGGAGUCCGUUCCCUGCAGUGAAGAUAGCAGCGCUGCUUUGUGUUUGACGCACGGCGUGACAGCGGAUCUGCAGGGACGACAAAGUGAUGUACAAUGGAAGAAAAAGAGCCAGGAGGGAUCGAUACAGAUCUUUAAUAACUAUAAAAUAGGCACUUGGUGAUCCACUUUACAGCUUGCACGAGGCACCGACUGCACUUAUGCACUUCCCUUUCUUGUCAUUCCUUUGCACAUUAUUAAAAUAAAACUUUGACACGAAGUAUUACACAGACAAUGACCUACCUAAAAUACUAUACAAAACAAGAUACGUACAGUAUAAACAAAAUAAAGCACCUUUUGUUGUCCAAGUAAAUACCCUUGAGUAUUAAACAGUUUGGAGUUGCUGACCCA